AUGGAGGUCAUGGCGGGGGCUGUGACGAGCGCCCUCCUCCACAAGCUGGACGCCGUGCUGACGGACGAGUACAGGCUGCAGAGGAGCCUGAGGGGCGAGAUCAUGUUCCUCCGAGCCGAGCUGGAGAGCAUGCAGGCGGCCCUCGAGAGAGUAUCCUCGUCGUCGGCGCAGCCGGUCGACAGGCAGGUCAGGAUCUGGGCAGGGCAAGUGAGGGAGCUCUCCUACGACGUCGAAGACAACAUCGACAGAUUCAUGGUGCGCGUUGACCUCCACCAUCCCUGGUUCAGCGGGUUCAUCGGCAGGUGCCUGAACCUGCUCACCACAGCCCGGGCCCGCCACCGGAUCGCCGCCGAUAUCAGGGGCAUCAAGGGCCGCGUCAAGGAGGUCGCUGACCGGCGCGACAGGUACAGGGUCGACGAUGAUGUGUCCGCCGUCCGGCGGCCCGGGGGCACC
rnacentral:rRNA from 1 species